rnacentral:rRNA from 2 species
UUAAAUUGAAGAGUUUGAUCAUGGCUCAGAUUGAACGCUGGCGGCAGGCCUAACACAUGCAAGUCGAACGGUAACAGAAAGCAGCUUGCUGCUUUGCUGACGAGUGGCG